CCCCAGAAAAAGUGGGCAAGAGUUGGCAUUGCUUUACUUUUUUUUCCUUCCAGGCAGGCUUGUGUUUUAGUGUAGAGGUAAAAAUGAUAGAAUGAACUCACACAAAUAAUAACUUACAAUAAUUGUUUACCUUAAAACAAUCUACGAAGCUUGGGGUUGAUCUUUCAUUGACGAAGUGUACAUUUUGUCUAAAACCUUAAUGACCUGAACAAUGAAACCACACAUAGGGUGGGGUUCAUUGCAAUAGUUCCAUCUAGCGUACUAUUGGAGAACAACACUUGCUCAAAUGCGUGAGAGCAUGUUCUAUUAAAUCGCUUUUCUUAAUUCUCUGUGAUUUUGAAAUUUAGAUCAUAUUUGUUAAACACAUUUUCGAGAAAUAAACGUUUCUUACAAUGACGAUGAAACGCUUUAAAUUGAUCACGUGUGUCCACAAGUUCCAGUCCUUGUCAGCUGAGAUCCAAUUUCACGAUAUGCGCUGUCAAUUGUCAACGCAACCUUUUCUAUAGUGGAUGUUCUUUACUGCGAAACGAAUGUAAGUUAGAAUAUAUGUCCUGCUCACUAUUGAAAUUAAGUUGAUAACGAACGUUUAGAAGUAAAACAGUCUAGCGUAGCCGACCACACACUCCUCUAAAACGUGACUUUUCUGUGGGCGACUGUUGCAACCACCAAAUAUUGAUUUCAAGCCCCGGAAUAUAGGCAAAUUUCCCGGAUAUCAAAGCUGAUUGAUGAAUGUUUUUUUAAUCACCUGUUGCGCAUGGAAUCUAACAAUAACACUUUGCCCAGGUGAGGUUGGAUCUGGCCUGCUACUUUGGACACAAAGAUGUUGUGGAGGAGCUACUCAAGGAAGUAGUUAUUUUUCUGUUGCGAUACCUGUGCCACUAUCAUCUACGGGACAGCCCAGGUCCCUAAAUCUGUCUACGAGGAUAAUGAGACCAUCGCCAUGCACGAGGCUGCAGAGAUCAGAGAGGAGAAGAGGAAGGAAGCGAAGCUUCUGGGGGUGGACAGAGAGGGAGACAUCUUCAGCCUGUCUCAGCUGGUCAGCAUCUGAUCAUCCCUGGCCCUCCACUGAACCUCUCAACCUCAAGCUCUGCAAGAUGAGGCCUCCAGACAUCCACUGUAGAGACCUGCCUACAGGGGGCAGAAGCAGUGUGUGAGAAAGAUGCUCAAGUCUGGAGCCAGCCCCAGCAUCAAGAAUGAGCAACCAAACCGUUUUUGACCUGGCCUGGAGUGAGGAGAUUAAGCAGAUUCUGGUGGGCAGUCAUGACAAGGUGAGAUGCGAGAGGAACAUUGGAGCAAAAAGCUGCUGAUUCUGUAAAUCUACUGAAACAAAACAAAAAAUUCUUCCCCUAGAGGAUACGACUUGUGUUGUGCCGAACU